GACGAACCGUGCAAACGUUGUUCGGAAUCACUGGGCUUAAAGGGCGCGUAGGCGGGUGACCAAGUCAGGGGUGAAAUCCUCCAGCUCAACUGGAGAACAGCUUUUGAUACUGGCCAUCUUGAGGGAGGUAGGGGCAUGUGGAACUUCCGGUGGAGCGGUGAAAUGCGUAGAUAUUCGGAAGAACACCAGUGGCGAAGGCGGCUCACUGGACUGGUAUUGACGCUGAGGUGCGAAAGCGUGGGGAGCAAACAGG
rnacentral:rRNA from 1 species